rnacentral:lncRNA from 1 species
AUUAUAAUUAUUAAAUUUGAUAAAAAAAAUGAGAGAAUCGUUUAAAUUUUUAAAGUUUGAUUUACAUAUUAAAAUUAAAUAAAUUAAAAAUUUUAAAUGUGUUGAUUAAUAAGUCGAAGAAUUGUUGAAAAAUAUAAAAUUAUUAUAUAUAUAUUUAUAUAUCUAUUUAUUUAUUUAUAAAUAGUAAGUUUAAAUGAUUAAUAAAAUUAUAUAAUUAUUUUAUGCAUAGUGAAGGUAAUCUCACCACUCUAUCUGAAGAGGUGACAAAAUUCACAAAUAUAACUAUCAGCUUCAUGUUACCAAACAGAAAAAAUGUAACUGCAGCAUUGCAACUAUAUAAAACCAAACAGACUAGGUGUAGUCACAACUUCAGUAUUUGCAACUGUAUGUAUUUCCAACUACAUUGUUUCUGCAACUACAUCCAACCAAACAGCCCCUUAGAGAAGUUCGAUCUCCCUU